AGUAAUUCAUACUUUUAUCCGAGCGAAAUUUGGGCUGUUGGAUCUCUCUACUCCGUAAAUCGAGACCAUUAGUUCUCUUGGUCGUUUUAUCUUCCGGCGUUUUAGUCCCAACUGCUCGUUUUCGAAUUACCCCUUUAGUUGUUUGUUCGGCAUCUAGAAUCCUAGCAGUCUGAUCUGCACACUCUCCUCCUUGUGCGGUUGACCACACGUGCAGGUCAGCUGGCAUGGCUAUCCACAUGGCAGGGUGUUAUUGGUCAGUCUCAUCUACUGAGGUGUCCUGCUUUUCUGGGGUUACAUUAUUCCCCCUUUCCACUUAAUUUUCUUUCAUCUGGGUUUCCUAG
rnacentral:lncRNA from 1 species